rfam:Oryza rufipogon genomic scaffold, chr08
AAAAAGACAGACUCUGGGUUUUCGUGUCCAACUUUGACUGUCUGUCUUAUAUGAAAUUUUUUUAUAAUUCGUAUUUUUAUUGUUGUUAGAUGAUAAAACAUGAUUAAUGCUUUGUGCGUGACUUGUCUUUUUAGUUUUUUUCAUAAUUUUUUCAAAUAAGUCGGACGGUCAAACGUUGGGCACGGAAAUCAGGGUU